AGACAAUCUAAUCUAGCAAUAUCAAGUAAAUUUGACAAAGCAAACUUUGUUUUUCAUCAUCCAAGUUCGAAUAAAAGUUGACUGACUGACUGAGUAACGAUCUAAUUAUUUGGAAAAUGCUAAACAUCACCCACCAGAUCAUUACUCAAUUCAGCAGUCUGAUGUGGAAGUCAGUGAUUGUUGAGCCAUAGGAAGGACCCAACUGACACCACUGACCUUCCCAUAAUGCACCAGUCUCUGAAUACCAGGUUAGUCCAGUCACGG
rnacentral:lncRNA from 1 species